AAGAGAGUCAGUGCUCUCAUGCGUUGGUGUUAACAUGCUCGGAUAUAGCUGCGCGUCGGCUCGAGGCGCGCCCUUCUGUCUGUCCGUCUGUAGGUGGCAGUGAGCCUACGCGGUGCGAGAUGCGGGGUCAACUGGCGAGGAGCUGCCUGUGCAUCCCCCGUGCUCAGAGCUUUUCUUUUUUUGCACGGGGUUUUAUUUUUUAAAUGAAAUUCUGCUGGGCUUCAGAGAUUGAAUCUCUUUAUCAGCAAAGCCUUUGAAAUCGAGCGCUAUGCGAACGCCUGUUUUGAAGGAAUCCUUUAAAGCCAAAAGACUUGCUGCUGCCUGACUGGGGAUCUGAGGCCCUAAGAAAGAAAAAAUAAAGCCUGUGGAGAGGCAGCAGGGUGUCUGCGCUCUGGGAAGUAAAACAAAAGUCUUCAAAUCUACAAGAAGUUCUCCAUUAGCUGUGUGUUUUUCUCUAAGGAAAUUAUUGCUUUUUAAUCUGCCAUUCAUCUCAUCCACAGAGGAACAAAGUGGAUUUUCAGGGUUCACAUUUCCAUGACAAAGCCACAAGAACUGGGGCAGUUCUGCAAACAAGCAUGCACUCUGAGUAUCAGCAAGAGAGGUGCCCUUGGCCCUCCUCUCCUCCAGGCUCUGGGUUUACACAACCACAGCGGUGCCUGGAACCAGCCAUCAUUUUGGGAAGCUCACCAGAAUGCGACCGCUUCUUUCAUUUUAGCUCUGCGGGAUGGCAAUGCCCAGCUUGUGUUUUGCCUAACAAGACAGCGAGGGGGCUGAGGAAAAUAAACCUGUAGUAAUGAUUUAUGGAAACAAUAACACUGCUCUGAGUUCUAAAAACAUCUGAAAAUAAAUGUCAUGCCCUCACCUCAUCCCCAGCUCUGCAUGACAUUUUCCAUCCUCUGGUGUUACAAAGAGCGAGCAGAGACAGAGUCUCAGGAAAGAAAUGUGGUGGUAAAUGUAUUUCUGCUUAAAUCUAUUUUUUUUCAGUGAGGUCACAACUUGCUAUCUAUGCAACAUUCAAAAGCUGUAAGAUUACUGCACAUUUGGGCCUUGAAGCCCUUCUGUUUUCUUUGUUCAAAGACUGAGAGAGAUCCUUUACUUCUGUUCAGGAGGUAGAUCAGCUUAAAUUCUCGUUCUCUUUCUCCUUCCCCGCCUCCCUUCUUUUAGCUGAGUGAUUUAUUUUAAAAAACUGUGACUUCUCUAAUUUUCCAUUUAUGGGCAAGGGGUUCUUUGAAGCAGUAAAAGGACAUGGGGCCAGCAAGGAGGAAUCAGGCAGCAUCUAUUGUAGGAAAAUGAAAAAUAAUUGCAGUUUUAUGUGGGGUGAGGACACUUAAAGGAAUGCAAAGGCUUUAUCUGCAGAUAUGUGUUAACAUUUUGUUUAGUCUAUGGCUGUCAGAGGAAGAUGUCAAUUAACUCUGACUUUCUCUAUAUCCCAAAGAGUAAAAGUCUCAUUUUUAGUCUGUUUUCCAAAUUAACUCAAAAUCAGAAAGUAGAGUUUGUCUGUUCAUAAUGGCAAAACAAACAAACAAACAAAAAACAAAAUAAAUCAAAAGUUUGUGACAACUUUGAAUGUGUCUGGGAUUAUGGAAUAAGAGCAGUAGCACUCUGUAACGUCUUCUGAAGCACUGAAAAAGCUUAUAAGAUACUUACCAAAAGUAUACAAAAGCGUAAAAACAAAUAAGGCUAUUUUUGCAAUACAGUGACCUUCUUACAGACUUUACUAUGAACGCUGAAAGUUUAUCGUUGGUGCCGUACUAAGGCCAUUGAUUUUAGGCUGUUAGUAGCUGUUAUGUCACUUUGCUUCUCCACCCCUGAGCAUGUCCCUGUGCAAACCAUUUUUGCAGUCCCUUGGCCUGGACUUGGAGAAGAGGAGCCCGAGCGCUCCGAUGAAUGGCAAUGAGCAUUGUCAGGGAGGCAGGAAAAUUGAGUCCCGGCUCUGGCUGCCAGGUCAGGAGCUGCAGGAGCUAAUUGUGUCAAUGGUAAUGAGACUGAGCAGGCAGCAGAUGCUCACGUGCCUUUACAAUCCAAAUCCCACCAACAAAUUCCUCCCACAGAAACUUUAAGGGACGUCUUGGCACCCUGGAGAUGGUGAUAGACCCGGUCUCAGCCACAUGCCACCUGCUAGAGCCAUUGUUUAAAUAAAGGAGAAAAAAAAAGAAAGCCUAUUAUGAUAACAAAGUUGUUUGCUGUCUCUUGCAAUGACUUUAUGGCACCAGUUUUUACCAUACUGCAUGUACUGAAAAAGAAAAGGAAAAAAAAGGAACAUCUGAUUCUUUAAAGAGAAACAGUUGUAUUGAGCACUGUUAACAACUUACUUGGGAAGCCGGAUGUUCAGUAUAUGUUACAUAUUCUGCUGAUAAACCAUGCUUGCCUUUUUCCCAUUACAGCUCCCACUGUGCCUGCUUCCUACAGCAGGUUUACAUUUCCACAUGUUUUCCCAUGACAUAGAAGCGGGGAGCAUUUCUUUACUCCUUUUUUUUUUUUUUCCUUUUUUUUUCCCAGCAAAAUCAAGAACAUAAAAUGCAGAUACCCAUGUACGGUGCUGUAUAAAUAUUUAUUGUGAAAUAAAACAAACUGCAUGGCUGGUCCUGACUCUUGGAGCAGGAUGGCUGGUGAGCUGUGCGUAAGGUUUUGAAGAGGGGGAAGGCCACCAGCACCAUGUUCCCCUGCUGGCCAUGGUGUGUAACACAGGAUUGCUAGAUGGGGCCACGUGGAGAGGUUCCGAUUCUUGCAGGAAAUCUCUGCCCAAGAAUAUCUGUUUCUGAACAAGUCUGGCCAAGUGUCCUUCACUGCCAUUGGAAUUUGAGCCCAGCAUUGCUAUUGCGCUCCUCUGAGGCUCAGACCACGAGCGUGACCAGUGUCCUCGGGGUGAGCUGGUCACAGGCAGCUGCUGGCAGGGGGUGCAGAUGAGUGGAUCUGGACUGCUUGGCUUAGGCUGUCAGGGGAAGAUUGAAGACAUGCUUUGUCUGGUCUGAAGAUACUUGAAGCAGCAAUUAUGCUCCUUUUUUAAACUCCCGGGGGUAGUGGAGAAAGUUAAAGUUGCUUAAAAAGCUUGGUUUGAGCUGGUAAUUUAACAGAGUGUGCAUUGUAGCCCAGGCUAAAUUCACAUCUACACCAAACUUCAACCCCUUCCUUUACAAAUCCUCACUCUUGUGAAGAAAAGAAUCACAAAUGUAGCUACAUCUUCUGCCCUGUUAAAUGUGAGAAUGGCCCUGAAGAUCUCAUCACAAGUUAGUGUUCUGCAGGGUGCUAGGGCAAGGUGUUCAUCUCUAGAGAACUGCAGCAGUAUGAUGUAAAGCAUUUCAAAUUUAUUUCAAACUCAAGUAUGUCAAUUACAUGCACUACAUCAAUUAUAUGUACUAUAUCAAUCAUACAUAUGUGUACACAUAUGUAUAUGUAUAUAUAUAGCAUAUGAAGUUGCUAACACCUGGAAUAAAAGCAGACAUAGGGUAUUCAAUGCAGUUAUAUCAGUGCAUAAGGCUGAAAACAUUAUGCACCUGAGGAAUGUCCCGGAUCUUGACAGUAUUUUCCUUAUGGGGAAGAGGGGUCUGGGGUCUUCAACUAUGUCAGUGUUUCUCGAGUCCCACUGCGCACGGACCAAACGGUAUAGCCACUGUCCUCUGGAGCACCUGGUUCUGGUGGCAGAAAAAAUGAUGCAUUAGGAAAUGGGCAGUUGUGUACAACCGCAGCCACAGUUGGGUUAAUGCGGCAUUUGUGAGAAAGCGUUAUGUGGUUUCCUCAGGUGUUGGGGGAAAGAAGCCUAUCAUAUUUUUAAAGGUGCCUUUGAUACCAGGCAUAUAUCGGGCAUAAAUAAUGCUGAAAACCUCGUUUUACUGAAGUGCAUGCCUUGCUCUUAAAGGCAAUUUGAGGUAAAAGGCUAACAGAGAUAUUCUACGUCAUACUUUACAAGGACACAACUAAACAGAACGAUAAACACAAUGUCAGAUGCAUUUAGAGUGAUCAGACAAUGGAAUUUUCAUUAUAUUCUGUGCCUGUCUGUUAAUGACUACUCAUAUUAAUUCAAAAGUAACCUGUAAUGUGUUAUGGGCAUUUCUUUGUAAUCAAGAUUCAGUAAGCUGUAAGUCUCAGGCAUUUUUCACUUUCGCACUUGGUAAAAUGAUGAGAGAGAAAUGUCUUCCUGGUUCAGAAAGAGACUAAAUAUCUUGGUAUGGUACUUACCGUGCAUGAACCAUGUACAAGUUUAACUUGCUAUUUAUAUACACAAUGCUGCAUUGCAAAACUGCCAUGAAAAUUUACUCGUGUAGCAGAAAAUCUGCUCCCCUGCCCUUUGCCUCAAUGAUUGAUGAUAAUGUAAAAUCUAAUUUUGAACUCGCUUAUUAAAAAAAAAAAAAAAAAGUUCUCGACCAUCAGCAAAUGUAUAAAAUUUUGUGGUUUGAUGUAUUUUAAUGAAUGAUUCGAUUUCUCAAAGCAACUUGAAACGGUGAAAAGUGUAGAUUAGGAGCAAAUUUCUCUGUUCACCCCUCCUCUCCUUCUGCUUCAAGGGCUAACCCUAAACCUAACCCUCUGUUCACCCCAUCCCUCCAUUUAUGGGCAGGACAUGACAGCUGCUCUUCUACUGAGGCCAAGAAGACAUUUUUCCCUGAUAUAGCUGUUAUGUUUACAGGUGUCUCAUAUGUGACAGCGGUCAUGGAGGAUGCUCCUGUUGGCAAGAAGGGGCACAAUACGGGCAGUGCUCUCAGGGUUAUGGUAAUUUAAGGUGCAGAUUUGGGGAAGUCAGGAUUGAUAGUGUCAAGAGGAUUUUUGCCCUUUCUAAUUUAUUUAUCAGCAGCCUCUGUCCCCAGUUGGGAUGGUCAGCGCUUUGCUGCAUAACUGAUGCCUGACUGAGGGACAAAUAAAGGUUAAAAUAAAUGUCCCAGCUAAUCUCAUCGGGCUUACUUAAGAAGACUGUGAUACACAGGAGGUCCCAUUUGAUAAUGCAAUGGCCCACUCAAUCUUUAAUGUCUCUUAGAGCAAUCCAGCCUCUAAUACAUCCUAGUUCUGGAAGAGGUAUCAGGUACAAGUCUGUCUGAUGAGACAGCUAACAGGUUGGACAAAUACGGCACUACUUUGUGAUAAGUUCUAUAUCUAUAUGAUCUAUCUUUGUCCGUGCCAAAAAAUCAGGCUGAAAUGUCAGCCUCCUUUCAUGCCUAUCAGUCCUCUAGCAACUUCUCUGUGGCUCCAAGAGUGAAUCUGAAAUGGUAACACUCAUCUUCCUACAUGGGUACCCUUCGCCCAUUCUGCUGCAUCAGAUGGAAAUGUAAGGUGAAAAGAUGAGAGAGAGCCCUGUUUUUGGUUUUACUUUGGGCAGCAAGCUCACUGAAAAGGGAGGGGGAGAGAAGGAAGGAGAGAGGGACAGACAGAGGGAGAGGAAGGUGAAAGAGAAGAGGGAGAGAGCAGCCCCCCAGUUUUGUCAUUCAUUGUGAUGGAAAUGUUCUUUUAAAAUACACUUCUGACUUAGGGAGACUUGUCUUUCACAUUCAUUACACAGGUGUCAAAUCAAAUUUUGUCUUGCUAUGUCUUGUGCACUGGAGCAUGGUGCAUAUGACAUUUUGUAACAUGUUGCAACAUAAGGCAAUAAAUCAUACUGAAAGUGAAUAAAACCUCAUUUCUUUUUUGGGGGUGGGGUGGAUGAACCAAAUGGCACUGUGCUAAUUUCACCGUGCUUCUGUCAUUGUCAAGAAAAUCAUUUUCUUUCUCCCCUGUCCCUGGCGAGGGACUGUUUCUCAAAGCAGUUCCUCAAAGUAAAAUUCUCUGUCACCUAAGUUUUGGAUAUAUACCAUGCACCUAGGGGAUUGAUAACUUUUAGAAGGAAAUAUAUGCUUCAAAGCUCAAUAAAACUCCUUUGAGAAACAAGACAGACUUUAAAGCAUCUCCACCAGAGAAGUAAACCUAUUUUCAGCUAAGUGAAAAAAUUUUUAAGCUGCUGUGCAGCUGUGGCUUCUGGAGUAGCAGUGUAGGCAAAAGGAAGCCCGAUUGGGAGAUGCUUCCUUUUCUUUCCACAGGUGCACUGCUGGGCGAUUCUGAAUGCAACUCUGGAGGAGAUUUUGCAGCGAGUAGAUAGGUAUUGGGUGGGAAUAGCCCGGCUCGGUCUCCAGGAGGCCAGCAGCACUCUGCUCACGUGCCUAGCAGCACUCAAAUACCACGCUCCAUAAGAAAUGUCUGCGGGCUGCACGUGGGACUCUCCCUUCCCUUUGUAAGGGAAGUCUGCCAUGUCAAAGGUGGACGGGAGUUUAAGAGACUUUCAGACAGGACUCUUUCACUGGCUGAGUGAGGAAUCAGCCCUGGGAGUGCUGUGAUUGUUCCCAAGCGCCACUCACUCCAACGCUGCUGCCUCUGCACCAACAGAGUGAGGAGGGUCUUCUCCUGGCUCAGGGGUUCAAGCGGAUGCUGGGAAAAAAAAAAGCAGAGGAAUGCUUCCCCCUUGCUUUAGUUCAGAAUCCUGAUAAGGACUGUGCCAGUGACAUCUUUAUCUUCAUUGUAAGUGUUAAUGCUUGGUGGCAUGACAGUGUGGACUUCUGUGACAAUGUUAUAAAUAACCUGAUGGUGAACUUGCCAAAAUAAAAAUGGAAAAAAAAGAAAAGAGACACUGCUCUUCCCAUCUAUAGGCAUCCUGCUAUCUGUUAAUACAGAUAUUAAUAUGAGAGUAUCUCAGAGGGUGUCUCUGAGAAAGAUCAAGGUGAUGAAAUGGAAUUACUAUUUGGAAAGUGAUAAGAAUUGCGCUAUGAAGCAAAUUCUGCAUAGCUAAAUGUACCCAACAGUUACUCGUAGGAACACGUUAUCAUUUCACUAUAUAUAUAAUGUGUUAGCAUUUCAGCAGGGAAAUUAUUUUUCUAUGAAUUAUUCAUCUUCCGUAGUCAUGUAAUGGGGCAGUGACUUCUUUUAUCAACAAAAUACUUUUUAUUGACACUCAGAACUGCAUUUAAUUGAGCCCAUUCCCCCAAUUAUCGUCAGAAAAGAGUUUACACUGACGUUUUGGAAAAAUGUUAUAGGAAGAUUUAUCAGAGCCGCAAAAAAAAAGCUGCCCAUGAACUAAUGGAAUUAGAUUAUCUUUGAAUUUUCUCCACCAGAACUUAGAAUGGCCACUAAUUCCUUUCUUUGCUCUUUUGGUGUUUGCAAAGGGGUUCACUAAAGCCUGAAUUGAUAUAAUUAUUGGCUUGGAUUGUUAGAGAUUUAGGCCAGAUGGCUAUGGGUUUCUAAAGUCCCAGUUGCUUGUGUUAGCUUUUCUAGUUUGCCUAUAGGGUUUGGGGAUCAGCAAUUUGAAAGGGCUGCAAACUUGUAAAACAGUGUUAUUCAUGGGGGCAGAAUGUUCAUCGGCGUGACCCAGUACUAAAUACAUUCAUUAUAGGCAUUUCUAUUCUGCACAAUUUGCCACACGGCGCUGGUUUGUGAAAAAAAGAGACAAUGGCUUAUAAAAUGCUUCUGAAUGCUUAAAAAGAAGGAGAGUUCACGCUGAGCCUCCUCUGCUUUCUCUUUCAACAAGAACCUUCUUAGUGACUUUGGCUGAGCUCUGCGGAGAGCAAGUAAAUUGGAAGAAGAGGAGAUUUACUUUUUACAUUUCUGGACAUGGCAGGGAGAAUAUCUGAGAGAAAAAAAAAAAAGAAAAAAGCAAUAAAAGAGAGCGAUGGUGAGAUUAUGUGAAACGCCAAUAAACAAGUGGGAGAAGUUAGCAGGGAAACAAUGGGAAGCGCGGCGAGGCUGUAGUAGCUAAAAUGAUAAACUAAAAGGGAAAUAGGGAUCACGUCAUGAGCAUACAGGAGGAGAUAUCUGCUUGGGAGACCUGGCUGCAGCGCGGAGCUCGUGCAGCCAUCUGUGCCGUUUCUGGGACACAUCACUCGCCCAGCCCGCAGAUGAUUUUAUUUCUUGGUGCAAGUUGCCAUGCAAACAUGAGAACAGCUCCCGGCAGUAGAGGAGGCUGAGGGGGGCGAUCACUUUCGGAGCGCUCCGUCUGCCCCACGGCCCCUUCUCUCAGACGCUCGGCACGAGCGAGGCGCAGGGCGGAGGAAACGGAUCUGAGGAACCGGGCAACGGCACACGGCAAAGCGCACGCACAGCCGCGCUGGGGCACACGCGCUGAGGGUAGAACAGCAGCGGGAGGAGACGCGGGCUGCCCGAGAGCGGGCAGUGUCACUGAGUGGGCACGCAGCGCGGAGACUCCAAGGAGUGAGAGGAGCUCUCCGCGCACAGACAGACACUGAGGAGCGGCAGCUGACAGGGAGACAAGCGGCACCGAGGCGCUUGCGAAGCAGUUAGCUGCUUCCUUCCCUCCCCCCCCGCCCCCCAUCCCGCUCAUAGCCUGGGGAGCGAGCAGUUAACUAAACGGGAGGACCACGCUGUGCCAGCGGGGUGGCGGCGGUGGCGGGACCGGGACCCCUCAGAACGCUGAGGGCGCGAAG
ensembl:lncRNA